rnacentral:rRNA from 1 species
AGAGUUUGAUCAUGGCUCAGGAUGAACGCUAGCGGCAGGCUUAACACAUGCAAGUCGAGGGGCAGCAUAAUGGUAGCAAUACUAUUGAUGGCGACCGGCGGACGGGUGCGUAACGCGUAUGCAACCUACCCUUUACGAGGGGGAUAACACUGAGAAAUCGGUACUAAUACCCCAUAAUAUUCCGGGAGGCAUCUUUCGGAGUUGAAAGCUUUGGUGGUAAAGGAUGGGCAUGCGUUGUAUUAGCUAGUUGGUAAGGUAACGGCUUACCAAGGCGACGAUACAGUAGGGGACUGAGAGGUUAACCCCCACAUUGGUACUGAGACACGGACCAAACUCCUACGGGAGGCAGCA